rnacentral:rRNA from 1 species
CCUACGGGGGGCAGCAGUGGGGAAUAUUGGGCAAUGGGCGCAAGCCUGACCCAGCAACGCCGCGUGAAGGAAGAAGGCUUUCGGGUUGUAAACUUCUUUUGUCAGGGAAGAGUAGAAGACGGUACCUGACGAAUAAGCCACGGCUAACUACGUGCCAGCAGCCGCGGUAAUACGUAGGUGGCAAGCGUUGUCCGGAUUUACUGGGUGUAAAGGGCGUGUAGCCGGGUUGACAAGUCAGAUGUGAAAUCCUGCGGCUUAACCGCAGAACUGCAUUUGAAACUGUUGAUCGUGAGGACUGGAGAGGCAGACGGAAUUCCUAGUGUAGCGGUGAAAUGCGUAGAUAUUAGGAGGAACACCAGUGGCGAAGGCGGUCUGCUGGACAGCAACUGACAGUGAGGCGCGAAAGCGUGGGGAGCAAACAGGAUUAGAUACCCUAGUAGUC